GUGAGGAAUAUUGGUCAAUGGGCGGGAGCCUGAACCAGCCAAGUCGCGUGAAGGAAGAAGGAUCUAUGGUUCGUAAACUUCUUUUGCAGGGGAAUAAAGUGCAGGACGUGUCCUGUUUUGUAUGUACCCUGAGAAUAAGGAUCGGCUAACUCCGUACCAGCAGCCGCGGUAAUACGGAGGAUCCGAGCGUUAUCCGGAUUUAUUGGGUUUAAAGGGUGCGUAGGUGGUUUGAUAAGUCAGCGGUGAAAGUUUGCAGCUUAACUGUAAAAAUGCCGUUGAAACUGUCGGACUUGAGUGUAAAUGAGGUAGGCGGAAUGCGUGGUGUAGCGGUGAAAUGCAUAGAUAUCACGCAGAACUCCGAUUGCGAAGGCAGCUUACUAAGCUACAACUGACACUGAAGCACGAAAGCGUGGGGAUCAAACAGGAUUAGAUACCCCGGUAGUCC
rnacentral:rRNA from 1 species